AAAAAAAAAAAAAGAACCAAUUCAAUUCUGCAUUUACUGAGGGCCUACUAUGUGCUGUGUGCACUGCAUGCACUCGAUACAUGUAAAUUCCCUGUUCUCUUUCCAGGCAAACAUUUAUUAGCACUCACUAUAGCGGCGAGUAGAUGAGUCUAGAUGUUUUUCAUUACCACAAACAGAAAAACAGCUUGAACUAAGCCAGCGACAACAGUAAUUUAGUCUGAGAAUGGAAUAAAUUAUUGAAUUACCAGACAUUAGAGAGGGUAGGGAAGGUAGGCUGAAUACUAACCCCCACCCCAAAGAUAUCCAUGUCCUAAUCUCUG
rnacentral:lncRNA from 10 species